UAGCAUUCUGAAAACCUGCACACUAGGCUACGCGCGGAGAACUUGGUUUCUCAGUCUCAUGCCUAGGGGAAAGUCCCCGGACCGGCGGCAGAAAGUGCUCGGCUUGAACGCCCGUCUCUGGUUCGCGCGUCACCGCGGCCUUGACCAAGGCUAAGACGUUCGCUGUGGACUGAGCCUGGUGACUGCGAAUCGCUUUCGUCAUUGCCAUAGUAACGCAGGUGGUGCGCCCACGCGCACUCUACAGAACGGGGCUCAUUCCCAGAAUGCA
ensembl:ribozyme RNase_MRP RNase MRP